CUUUUUUUUUUUUUUUUUUUUUUUUGAUGUUUAUAGCAGCUCCAUUCAGAAUUGCCAAAAUUUGGAAGCAAAGAAGAUGUCCCUCAGUGGGUGAAUGGAUAAUUAACCUGUGGUAUAUCCAAACAUGGAAAUUUACUCAGCACUAAAAAGAAAUGAGCUAUCAACUCAUGAAGAGACAUGGAGAAACCUAAAAUGUGUAUUACUAAGUAAAAGAAGCCAAUCCAGAAAGGCCACAUACUAUAUGAUUCCAACUGUAUGAUAUUCUGGAAAAGCUGUUCUUAGAAACUUGUGGAGACAUAGCAGAAGUUUACACAGUCUUACAUUAAUUCCAUAACCUGUGUAAAAAAUUAACUGCCUCAGAGAUAGACCUAACAUUCUAAAAGGAAAUGCAUGGAGUCUGCACAAACAACCACAGAAAAAUAAACGUUACAUUCAAAAAAUCAAGAAAAGCAUUUGAAGAAUAAAAUUAUGAAUUUAAUAAACUGCACAGUGGCUUCUUGAAGGACAAGCAUGUGUCUUCCAAAGAGGUCUGCAUUCCCAGAGGCUUUGACACACAUUACGAAUUGCCAAGGCAGGGAUCAGACAUGCCAUGAGCAUUUGCAAACAUGUUUGAUACAGGGCCCUUCUUGACUAAACCAUCUCAUGACAACACCCUUGGGAGAAUGCUGGUCAAAAACACCAUCAUUUACUGCCUCAGAUGAAGAGGUUUGAACUCACUGGGAAGCAGAGAACAGAGGAAAAGAAAAAUUGGAUGUGAAGGCCAAUAUUUUCAGGAGGACAAGGUUAAAGCCUACAUCCCUUAAAAUCGGAAGUACUGAGCCUCCUGGAAAUUGCGACUGCUUAACUUCUCUGUUCUACAGAUGGCCGUCAUCCCCAUGCUGAUAGGACACAGAAAGCAAGGCAACACAAAGUUGCCUUAAUGAUAGGUCUUUGUGGUGACUGGAUCCAGGAAGAGAAGGAAAUGAGACGUAGUUUACAGCAACAUCACAGUGUUGGGCCAGACCCUGCCUGGGCAUCUGUGCCUGUGUCGGGAAGCAUGGGGCCUCAGCCAUGAUCCAGCAGGAAGUUUGUUGACCCCCAUCUUAGAAGACGCCAGAGUGGGGAGAUCAUUCUUAAUGUACUGGAAAACAUUUUUUUUUUCCUAUUUCUGCCACACUUUGUGAUCACCAUGGAGACAGCAGGUCUCUCAAAGAAGAAAAUGAUCCUUUUUGUUCUCUCAACUUCCAUCAAAAACUCCUUGAAAUACAGCCCAGGGGAGGUCACAGCUUGAGACGAGCCGCGAAUGGUUGUUUGGCUGGCGCGCGCAAUACACCUGCUGAGUUAUGAGCCUGAUGAAUCAUUUGCCUGGCUGUCUUGUUAGUCAUGCUGAACUGAAUGCUACUUUUCCAACCAAAGAGGUCCAAACCAGGACUCUUCCUUUGCUUUGGUCUUGGGUGCUACAUAACAGACUUACAUUUUCACUCAUCUACGGGCCUCUAAUAAUUGAGAAGAAGUCACUCAAGUGAGGAAGAUCUGUAGGUGCAUGAACUUGCUGGGAAUAUUAAGUGGUGAUACUCCGUGGAGCUCUGGAGACCUGAGUCCUUAGCAGUGAUUUAGGAAGACCCGUUGCAGAUGACUACAGUGAAAUUGGCUCCAGGCAUGAAUGCUAUAGAAAAACACAAGGACUGCACGGAUCAAAAGCCAGAUACAGACAUAGAAAUGAGGUACAGUGCAAUAACACUGCUCAGGUUCUGAAACAAUGAGGAAUUCUUUUGAGGGAUUUUGGACAGUGUGGAGAAACAGUUACCAAAGCCGCAGGAAUGCCAGGCCUUAAGCCCAGGCUACAGAAUCUGAGUUUAAAGAGAUGAUGAUGGAUUACCCAAUUCUUCCCUAAGACCCUUCUCAGAAUCCCAUGGUGAAUGAAGCCCUGGUCAACACGUUUUUCACAAGGUUGCGGUAGUAACUGAGAACGAGCAAGGAUAGGGAAUAAAGUUGAAACUAGAACGAAAGGGAAUGAACUAUGAAGAUGGGCUCAGUCCCUUAAUCUUUUAAAGAUAUUUUCCAGGUGGAGGGACUGAGCUGUGUAACAUUUCCAAACAUGUAGAUAAAUCUCCUCAUCUAUCAUGAUGUCACCAACGACCCUGAAAAUCUGCAAUCCACGGUUCAUCGUGAAAACAUUUCAUGGAUGCUUUAU